UUGAGCCCAGGGAGGGAGUGCUAUUGUUCAGAUGUGUUUAUGUGCCACAUGAGCUCCUCACCUUGGAUUCAUGGUUUCUUUUUAAAAGCAAGCUCUGCUGGAACUGGCAGUCUGGCAAGGAGGGAGGGGGGAAAUGGAAGGGAACAAGCGGCUCAUGAGAGUCAUCCAGGAAAUGCGCUCCGAGAUCAUCAAGCUAGAGAGGGAAAACAGAGCACUUCGUGGGGAACUGAAAUUCGGUGGGCAAAAGGGAUCCAAACAAGAGGAAGGAGCAGAAGAUGAAGCCAAAAAGGAGGAAACCAGGAGCCUUCCAGAUGCAGACGAUGAGGCCAGCGGUUCUCCCUUGGCACUGCGCAGGAAUGCCUCGGCUGACUCAGCUCUGAUGCUACAGGAGCAAAAAGGCAAUAUUAUGACUGUCAGACGUUAUUCCAUCUCCUCAUCUGUGCCUUCACUGACUGGCAAAAAGCAUUAUAAAUCUGACAAGAGGAAUCCAUUCAAGGGAGCUCUUGAAGUAAAGGGUAUAAUCAAACCACCAGCCUUUCCUACAGAUGUGCAAAUAACCAACAAAGAAGAUAAAGGAUAUUCAAAAGUACCAUCGGAUUGCCUCUCCAGCAGUACACCAAAUAAAAGGCGAUCUUUCCAAGACCAUGUUUACAAAUGCAGGGGUAAAGUAAAGGCCGUCAGUUUCCUGUUACCAGUGGACAUGUCACCUUAUUCAGAAAAUCAAGGUUCUUUCACAUGCCCACAAAAUCAGAACACAAAACAGUUAAGCACCAUUAUUGAAAAGGACAUGUGAGCUGGUGAAUUUUUAAAGGACCAUCGUUGACUCCAGAGAUAAACUAGCCUCAACCAAUAGCUCUGCCUAGGAUUACAUUUCUGUAAAGUGACUUGGCAGAAUGCCUUCGGAGAAUCACUCAGGCAGCAUUUCAGAUCACUCAUUCAUUGCUUAAUGAGGAAAUAAAACUUGUGUCAGCAAGAUCAUCAAAAGCCUAUGCAAGUAGUAUUGGAAACCAAUAAUAACAUAUACCUCUCAAUUGUAUAUUUUUGUUAAUUUCAUGGUUUUUCUCAAAGAUUCCAUUAAACAGCUUUUAAUAUACCAGUCUUCACUAUGGUCUUUUUAGGAAUUCUUAAGAUAACAUAUCCUCUUCAUAAACUGCCAGAAAUAUAGAAAGUAUAAAGACUAUGAGAGGGUGCCCAUGAAGCUGAAAAGUAUCUGUCUAAAAGUUUAAAAUGCACAUUAAAAUACAGUAAAUUUCAUGUACUCAGUUUUCAUUAUGAAAAUUAUUCAGUCUAAACCAGGGGUUGGGGGGGGGGAAGCAGCCUGCAGAUUGUGUGCAAUCCCAGGGUCAUUUGGGACACCAAGGGCCCCUCAGGAGCCAAUACAAAUUGCACUAAAAUGCCUCAAAAUGACAUAUAUAGAGUACCUUUCCACUGUAUUUGAGGACCUCUGUGGUCAAAAUUAUUUUAGCAAUGUUUUUAAUGCCUCAACAUUUUUCAAAAUACCCUUUAGGACCCAAAAAGGACCAAGUACAAGGGAAAAAAAGUAUUCACAAAGGCAACUGUUUUGAGGAUCUCCCUAGCCUUGCAGAGUUGCCACUCCAGUCUAAAAACUGAAGCUUGUGCAUUUUAUAUGCUAUCUUUAAAAUGUUAAUUUGUGAAAAUAAUUGUACCUCUGUAUAUGAAUAUGUAUCUUUAACUGCUUGUUCAAAUGGAGUAAUUCACUGGAGGUAAUAAAUGAGCCUCUAUGAAAUGUCUCCAUUUUUAAAAACAUAACAUUCCAUGAUUAGGGUCACCUGACACAGUGGUGAAUAUUUAUAAAGUUGUAAUAGCCUCC
rnacentral:lncRNA from 11 species